AUCAACACAGAGGUGUUGUGUUUGGCACCACAGUAGCACUGCAUGUCUGUCAACAUGACGACCGUAGGGGGAUUGUGUUUAUUCUGCUGUAGUGGCUGCAAACAUCUGCCACCCUCAGCAGUCCACACUUUCUGAUCCUGUGUGAGAGUGACGCCUGGGACAUCUGUUUCAGACCAAUCCACUUCCACUUAGGGGGGUGACUUCAAUGAGCUUUACUGAAUUUUUGCAAAUGGUUCGGUCCAAUACUGUGGCCUCUCCAGACACGCUCUGACUAUUGAGGUGGUGACACAGCACGCGACUCUCUGAGGGGACUUUUAAUUUGAAAAGACCCUCAGACGAUGAAUGGACGCAGGGAGAGACAAGUUUUGGUAGAAAAAAAAGGAAAAGACCAGAACA